rnacentral:rRNA from 1 species
AACGAACGCUGGCGGCAGGCUUAACACAUGCAAGUCGAGCGCACCUUCGGGUGAGCGGCGGACGGGUGAGUAACGCGUGGGAACGUGCCCUUUUCUGCGGAAUAGCCUCUGGAAACGGAGAGUAAUACCGCAUACGGCCCUUCGGGGGAAAGAUUUAUCGGAGAAGGAUCGGCCCGCGUUAGAUUAGAUAGUUGGUGGGGUAAUGGCCUACCAAGUCUACGAUCUAUAGCUGGUUUUAGAGGAUGAUCAGCAACACUGGGACUGAGACACGGCCCAGACUCCUACGGGAGCAGCAGUGGGGAAUCUUGGACAAUGGCGCAAGCCUGAUCCAGCCAUGCCGCGUGAGUGAUGAAGGCCUUAAGGGCGUAAGCUCUUUCGCCAGAGAUGAUAAUGACAGUAUCU